rnacentral:rRNA from 1 species
UACGUAGGGGGCAAGCGUUGUCCGGAAUCAUUGGGCGUAAAGAGCGUGUAGGCGGUCCGGUAAGUCGGCUGUGAAAGUCCAAGGCUCAACCCUUGGGAUGCCGGUCGAUACUGCCGGACUAGAGUUCGGAAGAGGCGAGUGGAAUUCCCGGUGUAGCGGUGAAAUGCGCAGAUAUCGGGAGGAACACCUAUGGCGAAGGCAGCUCGCUGGGACGUUACUGACGCUGGAGACGCGAAAGCGUGGGGAGCAAACAGG